UACGUAGGGCGCAAGCGUUGUCCGGAAUUAUUGGGCGUAAAGAGCUCGUAGGCGGUUUGUCGCGUCUGCUGUGAAAUCCCGAGGCUCAACCUCGGACUUGCAGUGGGUACGGGCAGACUAGAGUGCGGUAGGGGAGACUGGAAUUCCUGGUGUAGCGGUGGAAUGCGCAGAUAUCAGGAGGAACACCGAUGGCGAAGGCAGGUCUCUGGGCCGCAACUGACGCUGAGGAGCGAAAGCAUGGGGAGCGAACAGG
rnacentral:rRNA from 1 species